UGUGUUUUAAAAAUAAGUUUACAACUAAAAUUUCUCGACUUAUACACAAGUAUUUACGGUAUAUGUUUUUAGUUUUGGUUAUAUAAUAUUAAUGGUAACAAAAUAUUUAACCGGGAAAGGUACAUUCAGAUUACUCUGGUUUCCAAGUACAUCCUAGGAAGGUUACAUUUGCCCAACAUCCAGGGGAUAUGUUAGCAACAG